CCCAACCAAGCUACGGUGGUUCGUGGAGUCUGCGAUGCCUAUGGUGUCCGGUGCAGUGCUGAUGGCCCUUGUAGGGAACAGCUAUAACUGCUAUAUCACUGCUAGCUCUUGUAAGAGCUCUCUUCAGCUAUACAGCUAUACUCUCCUGGAGGAGAGUUCCUUCCCACAGCUAUAUCCUCCUGGAGGAGAUGGCGAGACCCCAACCAAGCUACGGCCGUUCGUGGAGUCUGCUGUGCCUAUGGUGUCCGGUGCGGUGCUGAUGGUCCUUGGUAAGCGCUAGGAGCAUCGAUUGGCGGACGGUCCGUCACAGCUGUGUAUGUGUAUGGCUGUCUGUGAAGGAUAGAAUAUCCAUUUCACUAUAUCUAUUCUUGCUGUUCAUAUUAUAAGGGCAGUUUGAAACUUUAUGGAUAGUUUGAAACAGUUGUUCAGUUGUUUCAUUUCUCGGAAAACAUUACCGCUUACGUCGUCAAAUGUUCUUGUUUUCGGUAUUUGUAGUAUUUUGUGUAAAUCAGCAUAUUUGUGUAAAUCAACAUAGUUGUUAGGUAUCAAGGGCAGCUGCUUCCUGUUACACCCUGUU